rnacentral:rRNA from 1 species
AUUGAACGCUGGCGGCAUGCUUUACACAUGCAAGUCGAACGGUAACAGGUCUUCGGAUGCUGACGAGUGGCGAACGGGUGAGUAAUACAUCGGAACGUGCCUAGUAGUGGGGGAUAACUACUCGAAAGAGUAGCUAAUACCGCAUGAGAUCUACGGAUGAAAGCAGGGGACCUUCGGGCCUUGUGCUACUAGAGCGGCUGAUGGCAGAUUAGGUAGUUGGUGGGGUAAAGGCUUACCAAGCCUGCGAUCUGUAGCUGGUCUGAGAGGACGACCAGCCACACUGGGAUUGAGACACGGCCCAGACUCCUACGGGAGGCAGCAGUGGGAAAUUUUGGACAAUGGGCGAAAGCCUGAUCCAGCAAUGCCGCGUGCAGGAUGAAGGCCCUCGGGUUGUAAAUUUCUUUUGUACGGAACGAAAAGCCUGGGGCUAAUAUCCCCGGGUCAUGACGGUACCGUAAGAAUAGGCACCGGCUAACUACGUGCCAGCCGCCGCCGUAACAC